GGCUCGUAGGUCUAGGGGUACAAUUCUCGCUUUGGGUGGGAGAGGUCCCAGGUUCAGUUCCCAGACGAGCCC